rnacentral:misc_RNA from 1 species
GGAGAGCAGAAUCGCUUGUCCGUCUCUAUCAUUUCUUGUCUCUCUGUUUGCGCUCUCUCUUUCAUUCUUUGCUUCUCUUCAACACAGAAGUGAAGAGGAGAAAGGAAACGAAUAGAGGAGAACGGAAAGGAAAGGAAAUCCUUCCAAGCAGCACCAGACACGCUUAUUUUGUUCUGUCAAUUAUAUCUUAUAUCUGGUUUUUUGUGCUUGGACGGAUUUGAUCUCCAAUUCUAUUUCUUUUUUGGCUUUGAUUUAUUGAGAAGGCGAGGAAAGAGAAGAUGAUGGUAGCUAACAGUUUCGAUCUGUGGCAAAAAGAUGCCUUCUUUUCUGCAGCUGAAGAGGUUCAGGAAUCUGCUGAUGUAAUGCAAUCAGCAUAUAGGAUGUGGAUAAGAGAGAAGAAAGAGGGAUCACUGGAGUAUCUAGAUGAACUGUCCAGAGACCUCCAAACUGCAUUAGGUACUGCAAAGUGGCAGUUGGAGGAGUUUGAGAGAGCUGUCAGGUUGAGCCAUGGACAUCGCAGUGAUGAUAUUGCAGCGUCUAGGCAUAAACAAUUUGUUGUUGCUAUUCAAAGUCAAAUAUCAGAUGUUGAAGCAGCAUUAAGGGAAGCUUUCACUGAGGAAGGAAAGCAACCUCUUCAAUGGGUGACUCUGAAUAAAGAAGAAUGUGAUGAUUUGGCCUUAUUUCUAUCAGGAACUCCCCAAACUCCACAAAUUGUAAAAGAUAAUUCCACUGCACAUAGACUUUUGGAAUGUCCUUUCAUGGAGAUUCAUCAUACGAGAAAAGAUGCAGAUCAUAAUCUUAAGGCUACCUGUAGUACAGGUACUUACAAUGAAAAGGAUUUUAAGGAUGUGGUUACUAGUAACAAACACGAUGAAUUUAUUGUAGAUAUAGAGGGAAGAGAAACUUCUAGAAUGAAAGAUGAUAUAAUCUGUCAAUCUGAUAAAACAAAUGGGGCAAGAAAAACAUGGAGUUCACCAAAUUUUGGUGCUUUGAAGAUCGUAAUUGCUGAUGAAAGUGAACAUCGAAAUGGAUCAAUUCCAAGAAUUGAGGUCACACCUAAAGAAAAAGGGUCCAAACAUCUCUUCUGGAAGCCAAGAUCUGGAGAAUAUUCUCGAGGAAAGGGAUCAUGUAAUAUGUUCAAUCAGCUUUUUGGUCAGGUUGGUGGGUUCCAAAGGCAAGCACCAUCUAACCUACAGUUCAGUUGUUCUGUUCAACUUACAUUAGCUUUGAUGCUAAGUAUUUUUUUGAUUGUGCCUUUCCUGCUUUAUUCAGCUUGAGAGGAAGUGGUAACUUAUCGCUCUUGAUUAAGGUGAGAGUUUCAUUUCCUUUUACUCUAAAACCUUUUCUUUUCCAUUAUAGUAACCAUACAAACUCAAAUUUGAUGAAUGAAACAUAAAGCGAGGCAAUAGAGUCUUUGCUUCUUUGCAAAUGGUAGGAUUUGAUCCUACAUUUCUAGCUUUAUGGUGAUUAAAAUUUAUUACUAGACGAAGACACAGCGGUGAUCAAGUAUUGACUUACGGUUUAUAUGUUAAAUCCAAAACGGAGUUUUUUAUGAAUAUUUUUACUUUUCUUGUGUGGCUUCUAAUGCUUUCAUCACAUCACAAUGAUUACAGAUUCAGCCUAAAACUUGAAAUUGAAAAUGUUUUGCCAGAAAAUAAGUGAAUCCUUGCCCACCCUUCUUUUCCACAUCAACUUGAUUCCAGAUUUCAGCCUGAAACUUGAGGAGAUUUUUUUUUUCCCUCCUAUCUGUAUGGCACUAUUGGCACUGAAUUUCAUGUUAUAAUAGAUUCCCAUGAAGUUGAUUUCUUUAUUUCUUCUCACUUGUUUGUUUUGGUUGAUAAAGAUUUGAAUUACGUUCCACAUUCAACAAUCAAAGAAGCUUGUUAAAUUUCCAUUUCAGCAUGUUAAUGUGGAUAUUAAGGGUGAGAAUCAUACUUAAGGUCUGUUUAGCAUUGCCGUUAGAGUUGCUGUUGAAAAAAAGUAUUUUCUUAAAUAUAUUAGUUAAAGAAUUUAUAAAUUGAUUAAACAUUAAAUUUGAUAUGUUUUGGCCAUAAGAACACAAACAACAGAACAAUUUUUUUUUUUGAAACUGCUUUUCUCAACAGCAUUAAUAUGGAAAACUUUUUUUGAAAAGCACUUUUUUGACUUUGAAACUCAAUGCCAAAUGGGGCCUUAAUGGUAAUGGUGUUUUAUAUGCAGGUGCUGAAGGUAUUUCUGGAUAAGGGAAAGCGUGUAUUAAGGAGGAUGCAGACAAUUACCAACAUCUUCCAGUCUACUCUUACCGUUAGGGAUAAGGCUAGCCUAGCUCUGUGAACCACAGUAGUGAAACUAGCAACAGGAAUAUGGGGUAUUGUAUUCCCUACUCCCUAACCACACAAAGUGUACAUGUAUUCAUGUAGUCUCAAAACGUAUUUGGUAGUGUACAAAAAUCCCAUUUGAGUUGAACUUCAAAUUUAAGAUCAAAAGUUUGAGGGCUAAAUUGUAAUAAUGGAGCUUUUGUUUGCUUGCACUAAAUAAUCAUUUGUGUUGAUUAAUCAAUGUUAAAAAUUACCAGUAUGAAUGCUUGGGAAAUAAAUGGCAUUAGAUUGUAGUCAAUGACCUACUUUUGUCUGGGGUAUUUAACAAAAUGCUCACUGUGGUCUUGCAAACUUAAUAGGCACGGCCUGGUAUUUUUAAUUUUUAACACUUUAGUCCUAUUUCGUUAUUGUGAAUUG